GUGACACUCCUGCAUGAGCCCUGCCCUAAGGGGAUAUUUUUACAUGUUGCUGAACUCAGCCUCUAGGUGAUGUGACUCUACUCUCCUGCCUGGGCCCUGCCCACAAGGGGCAUUGGAACAUUUCACUUGGCUCAGCACCAAGAAGAUGUUACUCUCCUACCUGGACCUCUCCCACAGGGGACACCUAGACAAUGUGAUUUUUCUUCCUGGUUCCUGCCCAGAGUUCAAAUUGUGAUGUAUAUCUGAGCCCAAAACACAGCUGACAGUAAGGAUUAUCACCUUCCACAUGGACACAGCCCAUUUUGAGGUUCUGAAUCUUACAGCUGGAGGCAAUUGAAAGUUGGAUGUGUGAUUCUCAUACAUGGAUCCAGAUCACGGAAAGGAUUGUGACAAAUCAGUGGGCCAAGCAUCCCGGAGACGUGGCUCUUCUGUCUUAGCAAUUCCUAUAGUUGGGAUUGUGACAUAAACGGUAAUUUGUGCCAUCCUGCUGGACCCAGCACCCAGGUCAUUUGACUCUCCUGCCUUGGCCCUUCCCACAGAGGGCAUUGUGACAUUGAGUGGGCUCAGCAGCCAGGUGAUACGACUUUCCUGCUAGGACUCUUCCAACAGAAGGGACAUUGACCUACUCAGGCUCAGUAUUCAGCCAAUAAAUGAAAAAAGAUUCAAGGAAGACACAUUUGCUUUUUAUUCACACAUCACUUCCUGUCACUAUGCUGACCAGAGUCAAUGUGAGCAGAGUUGAGAGUAGCAGUUUUCUGGCAGGAGAGCCGCUUCUCAGCGAAAAAUGACACAAUAAAAGUAUAAAUCUUUCAUGGAAGGCUCACAUAUUUUCAGCAAAUUAAGCAUAUGCAUGAAUAAAAUUCUUGUGGUG